GUGCGUUUUCUAAUAUUUGCCUAUAAAUAUAAGUUAGAAAUUAUAAUGGUCAACUUACAGCAAGCAAAAUCCAUUCUGUAUGUAGCUACAUGUAUAAAAGUUCCUGGCAUGAAGCUUUGAAGUCAUUUCUUUUUCUUUUUUAAUUUGUGCAAUCGUAUACUUUUUUUUUGGCUUGAAUACCAUAAAAUACCAACAAACUAUAAAAAGC
rnacentral:lncRNA from 1 species